CAAAAACAUGUCUUUUUGUUAUUUAUUUAAAGUCUAAUCUGCCCACUGAAGAAUUUUAAAUGGCCGCAGUAUUUUAACUGUGCAAAGGUAGCAUAAUCAUUAGUCUUUUAAUUGAAGGCUUGUAUGAAUGGUUGGACGAGACAUAAGCUGUUUCAUAAAAAUUGUAGUUGAAUUUUAUUUUUUAGUUAAAAAGCUAAAAUAUUAUUAAAAGACGAGAAGACCCUAUAGAUCUUUACAGUUAUUAAAUUUAGAGAUAUGAAGAUUUAUUUAUUUUAAGUUUAUAGACUGUUUUGUUGGGGUGACAGUAAAAUUUAUAUAACUUUUAUAAUAAUAUUAAUUUACAUUUAUUUAUGAUUAUUUUUGAUCCAUUAAUAGUGAUUAUUAAAUUAAGUUACCUUAGGGAUAACAGCGUAAUUUUCUUAGAGAGUUCUUAUCGAAAAGAGAGAUUGCGACCUCGAUGUUGGAUUAAGAUAGAACUUAGGUGCAGCAGUUUAAGUUUUCAAGUCUGUUCGACUUUUAAUAUCUUACAUGAUCU
rnacentral:rRNA from 1 species